GAUGAAGAACGUAGCGAAAUGCGAUAAGUAAUGUGAAUUGCAGAAUUCAGUGAAUCAUCGAAUCUUUGAACGCACAUUGCGCCCGCCAGUAUUCUGGCGGGCAUGCCUGUUCGAGCGUCAUUUCAACCAUCAAGCCCCAGGCUUGUGUUGGGGACCUGCGGCUGCCGCAGGCCCUGAAAACCAGUGGCGGGCUCGCUGUCACACGGGGCGUAGUAGAUUUUAUCUCGCUCUGGGCGUGCUGCGGGUUCCGGCCGUUAAAAAACCCUUUUAACCCAAGGUUGACCUCGGAUCAGGUAGGAAUACCCGCUGAACUUAAGCAUAUCAAUAAGCGGAGGA
rnacentral:misc_RNA from 1 species